GAUGAACGCUGGCGGCGUGCCUAAUACAUGCAAGUCGAGCGAACAGACGAGGAGCUUGCUCCUCUGACGUUAGCGGCGGACGGGUGAGUAACACGUGGAUAACCUACCUAUAAGAAUGGGAUAACUUCGGGAAACCGGAGCUAAUACCGGAUAAUAUAUUGAACCGCAUGGUGCAAUAGUGAAAGACGGUUUUGCUGUCACUUAUAGAUGGAUCCGCGCCGCAUUAGCUAGUUGGUAAGGUAACGGCUUACCAAGGCGACGAUGCGUAGCCGACCUGAGAGGGUGAUCGGCCACACUGGAACUGAGACACGGUCCAGACUCCUACGGGAGGCAGCAGUAGGGAAUCUUCCGCAAUGGGCGAAAGCCUGACGGAGCAACGCCGCGUGAGUGAUGAAGGUCUUCGGAUCGUAAAACUCUGUUAUUAGGGAAGAACAAAUGUGUAAGUAGCUAUGCACGUCUUGACGGUACCUAAUCAGAAAGCCACGGCUAACUACGUG
rnacentral:rRNA from 1 species